UCAUUACUGUUUUAAUACUCGUACAUUUAUGUGUGAUAAGACACGUCUAGAUUAUGUACUCCUAGGCUCCGUUUGGUUCGUGGGAUAAGCGGGGAUAACGAAAGUUAUCCCCGCUAUUCCGCCAAACGAGAUAAUUUUUUACUGAGAUAUUUUAUCCCGGUCAAACUUUGCUAUUCCCGAUUAUUCCGUAAUAGCUUGAGAUUUGCUAUUCUACCAUUUUGGUGGAAUAGUACUAUUCCAAUGCUUAAUUUCAAACUUAAUUAAAAUUAUAAAUUGAAUUAAAACUAAAUUAUAUAAAUAUAAUAUGUUAUAUACUUAAUAUAUUAUUUUUAUUAUAAAAUUAUUAAUUGUACUAUAUUAAUACAUAUUAUUUAUAUUUAAAUAUUAUAAUAAAUUAUUUUUAUUAAAUUUAAGUUUAAGUAGAAUUUUAAAAAAAUUAUAAAUUUAUUUAAUAAU
rnacentral:lncRNA from 1 species